rnacentral:rRNA from 1 species
AACGCGAAGAACCUUACCUGGGCUCGAACGGCUUCUCAACGGUCGUGGAAACACGGCUACUCCGCAAGGGGGUGGAGUCGAGGUGCUGCAUGGCUGUCGUCAGCUCGUGUCGUGAGAUGUUGGGUUAAGUCCCGCAACGAGCGCAACCCUUGUCCUGUGUUGCUAACCGAAAGGUGCACUCUCAGGAGACCGCCAGCGAUAAGUUGGAGGAAGGUGGGGAUGACGUCAAGUCAUCAUGGCCUUUAUGUCCAGGGCUACACACGUGCUACAAUGGGCGGUACAAAGCGCUGCAAUCCCGCGAGGGAGAGCCAAUACGCAAAAAACCGUCCUCAGUUCGGAUUGCAGGCUGCAACUCGCCUGCAUGAAGCUGGAAUCGCUAGUAAUGGCGUAUCAGAAUGACGCCGUGAAUACGUUCCCGGGCCUUGUACACACCGUAGAGAC